AGGUUUCUGUAGACCCAAAAAGGUUUAUAGGUCUUGAUUCUAUAGCAGAUGCAGUUGAAUAUCUUCAUUUUGGUAAAAGUGUCGGCAAGGUGGUUGUUUGUGUAGAUCCAAUUUUCAGUCAACAAAUGGCAAAGUUAUGAGUAAUUAACUUCUGUUUGAAUCAUC